UUUUUUUUUUUUUUUUUUAAGAAUCUACUCCAGAACAUUGGUUAUAGACAACAGCAGUGCUUUCUGCAAGGAAUACCAGAUGAUGACAAAAAUACUUCCUUCUAUAAAAUAUCAAAGACAUCCUGCCUGUUAAUUGGGUUUCUUACAUAGAGCAAAGCCUUAGGAACACACCCCAAAUGGGGAGCCUCCAUGAGGCGAAAGAAAAGACCUCCAUGGGUUGCCUCACUUCUCAGAGGUACAUCCUUGCUGUGGCCACACAGCCUCUGAGAAGGAGGCUUCAGAUCUAAAUAAAGGGACAUGGCGCUGGGGGAGGGGCCGAGGCAUAAUAGGAAGGGAGGGGGGCGGAGGCUCCUGUGCUAUAAAUAACCAGAGAGCAUGACUGCAUUUAGAGCUUGUAGGAUUCAAGCAAAUCUCACGCUUUGUUUCCUGAAACAAAAGAAACAAGGGCUCGGUCCAGGUUUCUCCAAGCCUCUAAUAGCAAUAGACUCUUCUGCAUAUUUUUUUUUUCUUUUGCAGAACUGAGGGCUCGCAAUAAGUCCUUGCUAUCCCUUUAAGACCAAGCUGCAUCCACACUAUGUGUAGGGGGUGGCCGGCUCACCCUCACCAGCUGGCAAAGGGGUUGUGCACAAUAGCUCCCUACACCUAAAAGUUUCCUUUGGCAAAGUCUUAACCAGCAGAGGACAUGUUUCAGUUGCAAGUAUAUGCUUCUCUAACAUCCUCGAGUUGGAUGCUGUUGACAAUGUUUGGGCAGAAACAAACAUCUGUUCGCGGAUGACACCUGAUCAUUCUAACCAUUCCCAUAACAGGGAAAGCGCUGAAGGGAUGAAAUGUUUCCAAAGAUGCUUUGUGCAGAGCAGGUGGCCCAGGUGUCCUGCAAUCAUCUGUCCAGCAAAACACAACCGACUGAGUAACAGGGCUGGGCAUCGCCCAGCACAUCUCCCUUAGAAAUGUUUUAAGCUCUGCACUGCCGAAGACAGCCUUUUAUUUGGGCCCCUAGAGAAUUCUGCACUAUGCUGGGCUAUUCACACACACUAUCUGGGGACUACCUUGCAUUCCUGGCAAAGGCAGAGGGGUCUAUAUGCACCGAGACUCGUGCAGUCCCUAGAGAAGUCUGGGUCCAUAAACCAGCGAAUGAAUUCCAUUAAUACAUAUACGUGGCUUUUUCAUCUGUGACAUAAAUGACAUUUUUUACUUGCCUAUUUCUGAAUGUUCUUUAUUAAAUAAUAAACUCAAGAAAAACUUCAGACAGAUCAGCAGUGUAUGUAACUCUGAUUCUGUAUUACCACAAUGGCUUCCUCACAGGCAAAGGGGAGCCUGGGGUUUCAGAAGCAUGGUGGCAUCUGUCAGUGCCGGACCCUUUUCGGGCAGGUCUGGAUGCCAAGGCCACUCUCAUAAAACCAAAUCUGCACACUAUCACAUGGAGGGAUCUGUUGAAAAACUCUGACCUUGAAAGUGGAUUUGGAAUUCCCACUGUGGCCCAGCAGAAAUGAAUCUGACUAUCAUCCAUGAGGACGCAGGUUCCAUCCCUGGUCUCCUCCAGUGGGUUGAGGAUCCAAAGUUGCCAUGAGCUGUGGUAUAGGUGGCAGAUGUGCCUCAGAUCCUGCGUUGCUGUGGCUGUGGUCUUGUGGCAAAACCGGACCCUUAAAAACCAUUGAGCAAGGCCAGGGAUAGAACCCACAUCUUCACGGACACUAUUUGGGUUCUUAGCCCAAGGAGCCACAACGGGAACUGUGAAAUACAAGGUUUGAAAUGUAUAAAGCCAGAUAGUCUAGAAAAUUCUUCUAAAUCUCAUAGCUUAUAUAGGAAAGAAGUUGGAUAGAGUUUUUCCAAAAUGGUUAAUCCUAAAAAUUUGCAUAACAUCACCAGUAAUGAGUAGGGUAACUGAAAAAAAAACUUUUAUAAGGCAUCAAUAAGAAAAAAACAAAUUUCAAUCAACAUGCUAAAGGAACGACUACAUUAUCUUUCUAGUCUCUCUACAGAAAAUGAUAUUACAAAACCUUGUUGUCACAGGAAGAAGCAAUCAAAGAGCAUGUAGCCAAAAAAAAAAAAAAUGGAAGGGAAAAAAUGUUUUAUAGAGGAGGAUCAGAGAGCUAAUUAAAAUUUGAUUAUCUUUCUGAAUUUUUUAAUGUUUAGAUAUUUAUAAGCUUUGUUAAAUUUGAAAUCUGUUAUGAUCUCCUUUCUCACUCUGAACAAAUAUUCACUUUUGUAACUAGGUUUGCAUUUUUAAUCUCAUGUCCUUUCCCAACAAGAGCUGUGCUAAAGAGUGGGACGAGGCACACAUGCUUGAGCCAAAAAUGUAAAGAAACGCCUCUGACCUAUGGAGAAGCAGGAUGCCGGCAGCACCAAGGGGACUCUUCACGGGAAGAAGAGUCAUGGCUGCUGUCUGGUCCAGCUUCCCCCUUUCUGCUUGGAAAUAUCUUUCCAGGGCUAAAAGUUUGGAACUCCUGGGUGUGCGUGUGCUUUCAUAAAAUACACAAUUCCAUUACAAUCCGACUUCCUCUUCAAGCGGAAAAUCUAAUUUCAGCAGAGAAAAGCCUGUGAAGGAAUUUUGACGAUUUCGUCUAAGCUUUCCACCUAGAUCUCGAAGACAAGUCCAGGCCAAGAGAGGUCUCAUUCCUGCCUACCACAUUUUUGCCAAGUGAGCUCAGACCAGGACCGUUAGACGGCUAGACCAAGGGCACAGCAGGGGCCACCUGGCCAGAGCCUUUCCCUUACUGGUUCAGUCCAGGCUGGUUUCACUGCCAUCACUUGCCCCCCUUUUGCUAGGAAGCAUAUUCUGGCCGCCAUGGUGGUUGUUGCUUGCCUACCUGCAUGGCCCUGGUGAUAUGCCAAGGAAUCUACAUCCUACCACAGCCCUAACCAAUGAGUGAUGGGAGAACAGGUGUAGAAAUACUUCAUUUCCCCCACCUGGGGGAGGGAUCCCAGAGGCUCCCAGCAGAACUGAGCUCCAGUUAUAAUUUCCUCGAUAAUGAAAAUCUUUAUCAGCUGCCUUCCCUUCUCUGUCUUACCUUCUUUUCUACUGAAAUAGCUUCC
rnacentral:lncRNA from 1 species